rnacentral:lncRNA from 1 species
AACCUGGAUUGUGAGCAUCAGGACUCAGGGCAGAAGAGAAUUGCAAGUAAAGAGUGAGAUGCCAGAAACCAUCCGGCCACUUUCAUCCAAUCACUUCCCACCACUUGCUCAUCGAGGUGGUGUGUGCUCCCAGACAGCCACCUGCUCAACUUUCCACUGCGUGGAAUCCCAGCUCCUUAAUCAAAACGAAACAAAAGGAUGUCUCUCUUCGGGGUGAUGAUACGAUGCACUUUCCUGCGCUCCGAGGUACCACCACGGAGAGAUGGGCAUCCUGGCGCCAGAGUGUCCUCUGAGGCUGGGCUGCCUGGCUUUUACAACAACAUCCAAGGAAAUUUGCCACCUGACAUCAAGGUUCUAAGCAGGCAUAGGAGUGAAGACACUCUUGGCUGUGCAAGUGAUACCCAGGCCAGGCUGCCCCAGCUUCUGCUGUGCCAAAUCUCAGGUGCAGUUGGAACAGGCAAAAGGCUCUGGAAUCUGAGAGAUAAAAGAGCAGAUGCAGCAACAGCAGAAGCCGGUUGAUGAAACUGAAGACCAUUCUCUCCCUACAAAUAUGAACAGCAAAUUCUGCAAAUGGAGGCUUGUGAAUGUCAGAGAACACCCCAGCUAAGACCUCCAGUGAGGUCUAUAUUUACAGCUGCUUGGGAGGAGGAGGGGAAGAGGAUGGUAAGUUCAAGGCCAACUUAUGCUACCUAGUAAGUUCAAGGCUAACCUGAACUCAGCUAGCUAGGACAACUCAGCAAGAUUAUAUCACAAUUAAAAAAAAUGGAACGGACAUGGAUAUGGUUCUAUGGACAAUAGUGUUAAUGCACAAGACUCUGGAUUCAAUCUCUAGAACUGAAGAAAAAAAAAAAAGGAAAAAACAAACAGAAAAAAAAAAAACCCAAACAGAAACCCGUGCUUUUGACCUGGAUUUAAAAUAGGCAUAAGUGUGAUACUUCAAACAAAAUACAGUCAUUAUAUAACAUAUAUUUAUGAAAAUCACUGUACCAUAACAAAAGUAAACAAUAAAAACCACAGGCUUGGGGUGGGGGGAAACGGG